rnacentral:lncRNA from 1 species
CUCCUCCAUGAUAGGUCAGCUACAUCAUCACCCUGCUCCUCCAUGAUAGGUCAGCUACAUCAUCACCCCUGCUCCUCCAUGAUAGGUCAGCUACAUCAUCAUCCCUGCUCCUCCAUGAUAGGUCAGCUACAUCAUCACCCCUGCUCCUCCAUGAUAGGUCAGCUACAUCAUCACCCCUGCUCCUCCAUGAUAGGUCAGCUACAUCAUCACUCCUGCUCCUCCAUGAUAGGUCAGCUACAUCUUCACUCCAGCUCCUCCCUGAUAGGUCAGCUACAUCAUCCUGCUCCUCCAUGAUAGGUCAGCUACAUCAUCACUCCUGCUCCUCCAUGAUAGGUCAGCUACAUCAUCACCCCUGCUCCUCCAUGAUAGGUCAGCUACAUCAUCACCCCUGUUCCUCCAUGAUAGGUCAGCUACAUCAUCACCCCUGUUCCUCCAUGACAUGUCAGCUACAUCAUUAUCCUGCUCCUCCAUGAUAGGUCAGCUACAUCAUCACCCCUGCUCCUCAAUGAUAGGUCAGCUACAUCAUUCUGCUCCUCCAUGAUAGGUCAGCUACAUCAUCACCCCUGGUCCUCCAUGAUAGGUCAACUACAUCAUCCUGCUCCUCCAUGAUAGAUCAGCUACAUCAUCAUCCUGCUCCUCCAUGAUAUGUCAGCUACAUCAUAAGCCUGCUCCUCCAUGAUAGGUCAGCUACAUCAUCACCCUGCUUCUCCAUGAUAGGUCAGCUACAUCGUCACCCCUGCUCCUCCAAGAAAGGUCAGCUACAUCAUCACCCCUGCUUCUCCAUGAUAGGUCAGCUACAUCAUCACCCCUGCUCCUCCAUGUUAGGUCAGCGACAUCAUCACCCCUGCUCCUCCAUGAUAGGUAAGCUACAUCAUUCUGCUCCUCCAUUAUAGGUCAGCUACAUCAUCACUCCUGCUCCUCCCUGAUAGGUCAGCUACAUCAUCCUGCUCCUCCAUGAUAGGUCAGCUACAUCAUCAUCCUGCUCCUUCAUGAUAGGUCAGCGACAUCAUCACCCCUGCUCCUCCAUGAUAGGUCAGCUACAACAUCACCUCUGCUCGUCCAUGAUAGGUCAGCUACAUCAUUCUGCUCAUCCAUGAUAGGUCAGCUACAACAUCACCCAUGCUCCUCCAUGAUAGGCCAGCUACAUCAACAUCCUGCUCAUACAUGAUAGGUCAGCUACAUCAUCACCCCUGCUCCUCCAUCAAAGGUCAGCUACAUCAUCACCCCUGCUCCUCCAUGAUAUGUCAGCUACAUCAUCACCCCUGCUCCUCCAUGAUAUGUCAGCUAAAUCAUCACCCCUGCUCCUCCAUGAUAGGUCAGCUACAUCAUCACCCCUGCUACUCUAUGAUAGGUCAGCUACAUCAUCAUCCCUGCUCCUCCAUGAUAGGUCAGCUACAUCAUCACCCCUGCUCCUCCAUGAUAGGUCAGCUACAUCAUCACCCCUGCUCCUCCAUGAUAGGUCAGCUACAUCAUCACCCCUGCUCCUCCAUGAUAGGUCAGCUACAUCAUCACCCUGGUCCUCCAUGAUAGGUCAGCUACAUCAUCACCCCUGCUCCUCCAUGAUAUGUCAGCUACAUCAUCACCCCUGCUCCUCCAUGAUAUGUCAGCUACAUCAUCACCCCUGCUCCUCCAUGAUAGGUCAGCUACAUCAUCACCCCUGCUACUCUAUGAUAGGUCAGCUACAUCAUCAUCCCUGCUCCUCCAUGAUAGGUCAGCUACAUCAUCACCCCUGCUCCUCCAUGAUAGGUCAGCUACAUCAUCACCCCUGCUCCUCCAUGAUAGGUCAGCUACAUCAUCACCCCUGCUCCUCCAUUAUAGGUCAGCUACAUCAUCGCUCCUGCUCCUCCCUGAUAGGUAAGCCACAUAAUUCUGCUCCUCCAUGAUAGGUCAGCUACAUCAUCACUCCUGCUCCUUCAUGAUAGGUCAGCUACAUCAUCACCCCUGCUCCUCCAUGAUAGGUCAGCUACAACAUCACCACUGCUACUCUAUGAUAGGUCAGCUACAUCAUCAUCCCUGCUCCUCCAUGAUAGGUCAGCUACAUCAUCACCCCUGCUCCUCCAUGAUAGGUCAGCUACAUCAUCACCCCUGCUCCUCCAUGAUAGGUCAGCUACAUCAUCACCCCUGCUCCUCCAUUAUAGGUCAGCUACAUCAUCUCUCCUGCUCCUCCAUGAUAGGUCAGCUACAUCAUCAUCC